rnacentral:rRNA from 1 species
AAACGGGAGAGGUUGGAAUCGCUUUCGAAAGGGGGUACUCAACCCUACCGUGGACCCAAGCCUCCGUGCGUCGUGUACGUUGUCGGCAGCCGGCCCCUCCGCAAGGUAGGGUGUCCGGCGUUAGGCGGCAGCGGCGGCGUACGGGUAGUUAGCGCGGGUGCGGCUGGGUGCAUUUGCCCCCUAGUAGACGCUGCGACCCGUUGGGUCAGUGUCCGGUCUAGGGACCUGGAAGAUGGACCGUGGCGGUCGAGUGGUUAGGGGGGGUCCUUAAUCGGCUGCCCCGCCACCGGUCGCAGCGGAUCCGGGUCUCUUCCCGACCGGGGCUCGACGGAAGAAAUUGGAGAGGGGCGAUGCCCGCUCCCGCGGACUUCGGUUCGCGGGCAGCGUCCGGGCCGAGUUUUCGGCAAGCUUUCUAGGUGCGCAGAAGCGCCGUUGCGCCUCUUUUGCGCGCGGUCGUUCCGGUCGGCGUGGCUUACGUCACGCCCCGGGCCACCUGGGGCUGUUGGCUCUCGGAACACCUCGGACCGUGGAGAAGCCCCUGUCCGCGGCGCUUUAUCUUCCGAUGCUCUCCCGAC